rnacentral:lncRNA from 1 species
UCCGAUCACCUAGAAACUAUUCUAAAAUGUUUUCAAUAUGAUUUUAAAGACCUAGAAAUGAAUUGGAUUAUUUGAAAUGGUAGAUCUAUUUGGUUUUAAUAGUGAUUUCUUAAAGGAUUCUAAGUAAAAAGUUUGUUCAAGUUACCUCGGCAAUAAAUGUGAUAUCUCACAUUCAAGUUUGAUGACUAGAUCAGGUGUGAGGUGUCUAGCUAGCUACUCGUUCAUUUCUAUAUUACGACAAAGCAUAAAUGAAGUUAAUUAAAAAAUAUUUCUUUUAAUUUUAAUUUUUCAUUAUUUAUCCUUUGUUGAUGUGGCAACCGACGUGGCAGUAUGCCACCAGUUGUCACUGACAUGAAGUUGUUAGAAUCGUAAAAUAAGAUCUGAUAUAAAACUUAACAAACCAGGAUAUGUCAGAUCAUUAAGAACAAAAAUGUAUGUGGAAGUGUACCUGAACCCAUUGUUGGGGAUUGCCUAGAACGUCAUGAUCUUCCAAGAAAAUAGUUUAUCUUUUAGUAUAACUCGCUGAUGGGGAUGGAAAAGAAAUAUGAGCUAUACAUUUAUUUCUUGGGGACCACUACCUCUUUUUAAAUAACCGAUUAUUAAAUCAGUUUUGGGUAUUUAUAAUUUGGCCCCUCAUCAAAUUACAAAUAAAUUUUAUGUUAUCUAGACAUUAUUUCCAUGAUACUUUAAUACAUGUGAAACUUUUAACUUAAUUGGUCACUUAAUUUUGUAUCACACUUUAUAAUAGUAUUAUACAUUAUACAUAUGCAUAAUUAAGGAUGUUAAUUCAACAAUCUCCCAUUUGUACAACAUAUGUUUCCGGAUAAAUGUACAGCCUUAUGAUCCAAAAAUUUGCUGUCAUAUAAUUGGUAUUCUAUAACAAUCUCGUCCAUCAACUAUAUCAAUAUAGUAUCAAAGUAGUCUUUGUUAUAUUAAUAAUUACUAAACUCAUCAAUGGUCACAUAUACAAAUAUAAUCAAAUGACAUUGAUCAAUCAUGGAUUUGUAGCAUGAAAAUUGUAUGCAAUGUAAACCAAACAUGCCUAUUUCCAAAUGGUCCUCUUUAAACUUAAGUGAGGUCAGUAUCAAAAUGAAAAACAUAAUAAAUAAACUGAAUACUUCAUUUUUUUUAUCAGAAAUAACCAAAUACAUAAAUGUCUAAAAACAAACAGAAAACAAAUAAAAUACAAACUGCCACUAAACCAUGACGUCUUUAAAUAAUAUAACACCCAUAUGAACAGUGUGCUCAUGAAAGACCUUGGGUGGUAAACUUUUUGUGAACAAACCCGCUAUCAUGGAGUUUGUCCCAUUGUGCUCUAUGGAUAUUUGUCCACUCUGCAUUCUUUCCUUCAUAACUAGGAACUUUAUGUCAAUAUGCUUUGACUUAGAUGAGCUCCUGUUUUUGGAAUACAGCACCACUAACUUAUUAUCACAGAAUAAUUUGAGUGGUCUUUUUACAUUCUCCAAAAUGCGCAACCCCGUGACAAAGUUUUGCAACCAUAUUCCAUGGUUUGAUGCCUCAUAGCAUACUAUAAGCUUUUUUUACCAUAGUGGAAGAAGCUACAAGUGUUUGUUUGACACUUUUCCAAGAUAUAGCUUAUCCAGCUAACAGAUAAAUAUAGUAUGAUGUAGAUUUCCUACUAUUUGAUCUGUCGUAAUUUGACAUGUCAAAUUAGGCUCCUUGUUAUAUUUAAUGAGCUUGUUCUCGAGCAAUUUUAAUGUUUUUUCAUAGUUUGCAUUUAAUUUUCGUUUCUUAGACUUAAUUUACUUUUCAUGCAUUUUGUGCUCAUUUGAUGUUAUUUUGAUACCCAAAUUGGCCAAAUGUGCUAGUUGGACCCUAAUGAUUGAUUGAGUAUUGUAAGAGCUUGUUAGUGGCCCAAAUUUAAGUGAAAACAUUGCCACAAGCAGGGGUAUUGCGACAUCGGAGCAUGGAUAUCGCAACACCUCUAACAAAUUUGAAAUGAAGAGGAAUGGGAGCCACCUAUAGUGGUGUCGCAAUACCUACGCUUAGGUAUGGCGACAUCCACCAUCAAAGGUACCCUUUGAGUAUACUAUUGAGGAUGUCGCGAUACCCACUUCUAGAUAUCCCUAUAUCCCUAUCGUAUGGGAAAAAAAUUACAUCAGGGGUAGUUUUUGUCCACCCGAAGCACUAAUCAAAUAAAAGAUAAAAAGAGGCAUUUAGGCAAUAUUUUGGGGUCAGAAUCAACUUUAAAAAGGAAAAAAUUGGCUAAAGAAAGAAGAGACAGUAGUUUUAUGUUAGUAAGCUUUUUAGUUUAGGUUUAGGGUAGUUUUCUUAUUCAUAGUUUAGGGUUUUAAUUCUCUGUUAGUUUCUUUAUUUUCCUUGUAUUUUCUUAGUUAGUUAAGUUAGUUUUUAUUGUAGUUAGGUGUUAUUCGUUUAGUAACCCUUUAAACUUUAUUGUAGUUACAUUUUAAUCUCACUUUAAUGUUAUUUGGUUUUCUUUAAUUUCUUUGGUUAAAAAUUAUUUCUUUAGCAUUUUCAUUUAUUGUUCUUGCUUCUAUUGUUGCGUUAUCCAAGCUUUUACAAGAAAGCUUAGAUUUUUAUUCACCUAUAGUUAAGUUUAAGUUAAUGUUUUCUUUGCUUGAGUAUUUUUUGUUUGUAUGUUUAGAUCUGAGUAGGACUAGCUAAAUAUAAGGUGAUUGGUUGAUGAAAAUAUUGGGUAGUUGUUUAGGGUUUAGAGGCUAAAUCGUAAAAUAUAGACUAAUUUGAAUAAACAAUAAAAGUUAGGAUUGAUACUUGUAAGAGAAAAUCAAGAUAAGUGAGAUCGAGAGGUAAUCUUAUUGUACACCAAUUCAUUAGUCUCGGGUUAGCCGGCAAGAUCGAAAGAUAAACCAGACUAAUUUGUCUAAGUUGGUAAAGUUGAGGCCGAAAGGUAAAAUGAAGCAAAUUUAGGAGUGUUAACGAUUUAGAUCCUUAAUUCAAAGGUUAAUUAACGACAUGGAAAUCAACCAAUCACUGCCUGUUAUCAUAUUUGGUAGUUUUAUGUUUUAUUUUAUUGACAAUUUAGUCACUUUCUACAUUUUUUGCGGAUUACCGAGUUACAUUUACAGUGAUUCAAACGUGUUUCUGGUGGAGGAUGUGAAGCCUACGGGUUUGGAACUUAGUGACCAAUCGUGUUUUUGGAGGGAUGUUUAGGCUACGGCUUGACACUUAGUGCCCAGGCAUGUUCUUGAAUGGAUUAACUCGUUUGAGCAUUUUGACGUGUUUUGGAUGGAUAACCGAGUAUCCGUAUCUAUUCAUAACAGUUCAUCCAGUUGAAUUGUUGUUUUUAAUAGACUUGAUAGUUUGUAAUUGGUUUAAAAUGUGAUAAAUCAUAGAUGAAUGAUCUCGAAACCUGUUUAUGCUUGUUGGUACUAUGAAUUGAUAUGGUGUUGGAUUAACUUGUAAAUUAUGAAAAGUUAAAAGUUUUGAAUGCGAUGAACUCACCUUUUGAUGUGAAUUGUGCUAAAAGGUUAAAAUGUUUAGUUAACUAUUUUGUUAUUUUUAAAGGAAGAAAUUAAGGUAAGUUAUAUUGAUUCCAACCUAUGAACUUACUAAGCUCAAUUGAAGCUUACUCUGUUUCAUUUUCCUAUAGUUAUCGUUUUGUGGAACUCAACGAAUUGAAUCAGCUUGCAGAUCACACUAGCCAACCACUUUUUGGUAGAUUUUGAAAACAUUUUAUUUUGGUUAUGUGGCAUGUAAUAGGGGUUAAAUUAUGUAAAUGUGUUUUGUAAUAGUGUAUGUAUAUGGUAUUUAUAAAGUAUUGGAUGAUGGCAUUUUAAUAUGGUAGCUUAUAGUUUGAAGUGAUUGCUUUAAAAGUAAUUGAUGAAUAUGGAAAAGGUGAUAAAAUAACAUGAAAGUUUGGCAUGUUUGUUCAUGGUGUGAGAUAUUCAAAUAGGUAAGAUUGUGUUGGUGAAUAUAUUCUAAAAGCUUGAUUAUUAAAUUAGUUGCCUAAGUAUGGUAUGUGAAAUAGUUUUGGUAUCCAAUUUAGUAGUUAUGGAUUUGGCAUUUUUGGUCAUUGUUAGAUGAAUGGAUAAUGUAUCUGGUUGGUGUAUUGGUUGUUUUGGUGUCAAAUCUAUAGAUGGAUAUGCUGGUCCAUGGUUAAAGAUAUAGAUGGAAAAUUUGGUAUUUUGGUGAUUCAAAUAAUAGGUGCACAAUCAUGUUCGAAUUUGGUAUGAAUUAGGAAAUACUUUGGUAUUGAUUAUUGUUUGUAAUGGUGCCUUGAGGCAUAUUGGUUAGAAUUAGGAAAAUGAUACGUUUUAGUAUGCUUUUGGUAUACUUUGUAUAGACCUAUUGAAUGGUGAAUGGCUUGUUUAUGGCAUAAGUAAACAAUCGAUUGUGUAACUUGAUUUAUAUGACACAUUUUGGCACACGCGGGCUAACACACGAUCCACGUAUUGGAUAAAGAUGAAAGGAAGUUUGACUUACUGAUAAAAUUGUGUAUGUUUGUAGGAUAUCCAAAUGGAAUAAAGGGUGGUUUGUUUUGUAACUCGAAAAAGUAAAUUGUUAUAGUCUCAACUCAUGCUACUUUCCUUGAAGAAAGUUACAUGAAUGACUUCAAACCUCGGACUAAAGAGGUACUCAAGGAACUUUCAGGAAAUAUACAAAAUCCUAAUGAAACAGUUUUAAAACCAACUUUUAAUAGUAGACUUGCAAACAAUCAUUAGCAUAGGGAGCUUAGUCGCAGUGGGAGGGUCUCUCGUAGGCUUGAGUUCUUCCAAUCUAACGGAAGUGUUAUUAACACUGAGUCUGCCAAACAUGAAGAUGAUUACCCACUUACAUAUGACAAAACGAUACAAAAUGCUAAUUCCAAGCUCUGAGAAUUAACUAUAAAAGCUUAAAUGGACUCUAUGUAUUCCAACUCAGUGUGGGAACUUGUAGACGUACCAGAAGGGAUAAAACCCAUAGGGUGUAAGUGGAUCUACAAAAGGAAAAAAAUGCAGAUGGAAAAGUGGAAACUUUUAAGGCCAGACUUGUAGCAAAAAGUUAUACUCAGAAACAAUGUAUUGAUUACGAAGAAACCUUCUCUCCAGUUGCCAUGUUCAGGUCAAUCCACAUAUUACUAUCCAUUACGGUGGCUCUCGAUUAUGAGAUCUAGCAAAUAGAUGUCAAGACAAUGCUUUUGAACUACUAUCUUGAAGAGAUAAUCUACAUGAUGAAACCUACCGGAUAUAUAGCUAAAGGAAACGAGCAUAAAGUUUACAAACUGCUUAAAUCCAUAUAUGGACUUAAGCAAGCAUCCAGUUUACAGAAUUAAAUAUUUGAUCAGGUGAUCAAAAUUUUUGGAUUUGAUCAAAAUGAAAAUAAACCUUGUGUUUAAAAAUGUUUAGGAGAUUGAAAUGUGGUCUUUCUUGCUCUAUAUGUCGAUGACAUUCUACUUAUUGGAAAUUAUGUAGAGACAUAGUCAUCAGUUAAACUGGUUAACCCAACAGGUUAGCAUGAAGGACUUGGGAGAAGCUAAUUUUGUUCUAGAUAUUUGAAUCUUAAUAGAUCGAAAUAACAAAGUGAUAGCACUGUCUCAGGCUUCAUAUAUAGACAGAAUAUUGAAGCAUUAUGCAAUGACCGAUUCAAAUAAGGGAAAUCAACCCUCUGUAUCAAGAUUUCAUAUCUCUUUAGAGGACUAUCUUAAGACAAUAUGUAGGGUUAUUCACAACAAUGGAAUUCAUAGCCCAAAACAUGGGUAAAUGAUAUACUCUCACUAAUAUUACAUGGUUGAUGAAAAGUAAAUAUGGUCAUGGUCGUCUGUCUUUGUAAUGAUUGACUUGAUCACUAUUUGAUAGUGAUUGACUUUUCAUGAAAGAAGAUGUAACGGUUACCAUGAGAUAAAAAAGAAUUAUAUUGGGAGAAGGAAUAUUAUCCGAAACAGAUCAAGGAUAUCCUAUGAGGGUAACACACUUAUGGCAAAGUCAUUAGAUAAGCACUACGUAAUUGUUUUCAUAAUGGUAUGUCAUUAGUGAGAGCUCAAUCACGAUGCUAUAGUGAAAUGACUUCGUGACUAAAUGAGUUUAUAAUGAAUAGGCGAAAAGUCAGAACUUAAUUAUAAAUCAUUUGAGCCUCAACUACAUAUAUACAAUCGAUCCCUCCGCUAGCUCGUUGAAACCAUAAAUGAAUUGUGUGUUUUGAAUAGAUAUAAACAGAAUGGAAAGAAAAAGAGAAGCACGAAACAUUCAAGAAUGACUAUGGUUUUCUCCGAAAUGGAGAAAUGGAAUCAUUUGGAAAUGAAAAUGGAAACUUACAAUCCUAUAUAAGAUUACUUAAAAAAUAAUGGAAGAACGAGUUUAUGUUUUUGGACUAUUUUGAAGCCUAAAAAUGAAAAUAAAUCAUUCAGUCAUAGUGAACAUGUUAAGUUGUGACAUAGUGAGAAUUUUCUCGAAAUUUUCUCGAGGUAAAAUCGUCAAAAUUUUACUAGGGAUAAAAUUGUCAAAACUUUACUGGAGUAAAAUUGGGAUGAGAAAAUUAUUUAAUAUGUAAAUAUUAAAUUUUAUUUUUGGGAAAUAGAAAAAUUGAAUUGGGUUGGAUCACAUUACAGAGUACUAGAUCAAAAAGCUCAGGAAGUACUCGUAAUUGGACCCGAUGUGUGAGAGGCUCAAAACCCCUCAUAUGUAGUAUGUUGUUUUUCUAUUUAAAAUAAACUUCUACAACUCUACAAGGGUUCUACCUUCCCUUUAUACAAAAAGAUGGCUCCAGUAGAGCUAUUAAUACAACUUUGAGAGAUUUUUAUUUGUUGAAAAAUAGAAAGAAUUUAUUCUCAAUUAUUACAUAUAUAUUUUUCCAAAAUAACUAUUCUACCAAUUUCUAUUAAAAAAGAGAGAAUUUUCGUUUUCACCCCAAAAGGAGAGAACUUUUUUUAGUUUUGUGUUUCAAUUUAAUUGGUUUGAUGCCACACUCAAAGCAGUUCGUGGUACGAGAAUAGUAGAGAAUAUCAUUUGGUUGAUAGCUGAAAAACAUCAAAGAUCCGCUUAUCAAAAAAUAUAGGUACGGAUUCGGUUAAGGUUUAUUGUUAUAAAUAUCACAAACUAAGUCGAUUUUCAAAUUUUUAAUUUUUCGUUGUAAAAGAAAACUAUUUUCAAAUUGGGUCUUAUCCAACACCCCCUGAGUAUACUAUCAGAGAUGUCGCGAUACCCACUUCUAGGUAUCACGAUAUCCACCUCCCAAUGGGUAGCCUUAUUUCAUUACUAAUUACAUUAUCGCAAUAUCUUGCCUUAGGUAUCGUGAUACCCAUAUCGUGAAGGGGACAAAAAAUUACGCCAAGGGUAGUUUUUGUCCAACUGAAGCACCAAUUGGAAAAAAACCGCUCAAGGGAACUUUGGUCAUAAAAUGGGGUCAGAUUUUGCUAUGAAAAAUAACCACUUUUGGCUGAGGAGAGAGGACACAACUUGUAGGUUUAGUUUAGCUAAAUUUCUCUUUAGUUUCUCCUAGGUUUUCUUCUUCAUAUCUAGGGUUUCGUAUCCAUAAUAUAAGCUAGAUAUGCCUCGCAUCCCCUGCGUACCAGUCUUUUAGCUAUUAGAGCAGAGAUUACGUUAGAUAAGUAAUCUCUACGCUUUCCAACCAUCAUUAUCUCCUUCCCAUCCAGAGUCUUUAGAGUGACCCCCUUAGUAGCACAAUCCAAUAUGACUUGAUGUUCUACCAAACAGUCCAUCCCCAGAAUGAGAUUGAAUUCGUUGAAGUGUAAUUCCAUCAUAUCUACCGAAAAUAUUUCUUCUUGGAUCUCUAACGGAGACUGUUUAUACACUUUAUAAUAGAAAUAGAUUUUCCUAAGGGACUAAGGACACUCACAUUACUAACAAUAUCUUCUACCUUAAUACCCAGUUUAUCAGCCAUUAAACAUAAAACAUACAAAUGGGGUAAUCCAAUGUUAAUCAGAGCAAAAUAUGGUACGGUAUUAACGAUAAUGGUACCUACUAUGACGUCGGUGGUGUCAUAGUCCUCUCCAUGCCUAGCUGCGUACACUAGUGCAAGCCAUCUAGUAUCAACUCAGUUAGCACCCUGACCUUGGGCUCUCUCUCUGCCCAACAUUACCACCUUUAUUGGGACCUUGACCUCUUGGAGGCUGCUAUCCAACUCUCUGAUUCUGAACACGAUUUUGACUCGGUGCUUGCAUUUGCUCAUUAAGAAGCGGAAAAUCCUUGAUCUUGUGCUUCAAGGAUCUACAUCUUAGGCAUACGCCCAAACUCCUCCAGUAUUCUCCCGGAUGGCUCUUACCACAAGUGGCACAAUAUUGGGCUCUCCCUCCAUCAACAGCAGCAACAUUUUGCCUAGGUCAAUCGUCUCGGGAUCUUUUAUUAGGUCACGGAGCCUAAACAGUGGAAUUAACAUCUCUCUUGGUAGGGAUUCUAGCUCUAUCCCUUGAUUCGCGUUCCAAACACUUCACUUCCUUCACAAUUUUGGUUUUUUCCACAAACGCUUUGAAAAUCCUUUCUUGCCGAGGGGCUACUUGCAUCAUUAACUCAUAUCUCAACUCGUUUUCAAAUCUGACACACUUGUCUUAUUCAGUCGCAACCAUCCCCUCGGUAUAGCGACUUAACUAUAGAAAUUCGGUCUUAUACUAGACCAUAAAUCUAUCCAUUUGCUUGAUCUCAAUGAACUUCAGUCCAUAGGCCUCAACAUAACGCUUACCCAUAUACUUAUUCUGUAAAGCCUCGCAAUGGCUUACCAUUAGUGGUAAGUCUCAUCCCUUAGUAGCGAGACCGUACCUUUCAGUUUCUGCUUUAGCGUACACUCAAUGUCGUUCAGAAUCCUUUCCGUAGCCUCUAACCAAUACUCUGCCAUGGUGGGGGUCGUCCCAACAACUCCCCUGAAUAACUUGGCUCUGUUAGUUCGGAGCCUCUCAGCAAUGGUCCCGUGAUUUUCAAAUCCACUUUGGUCCCUAACAACAUACUGUAGCACCCUAAGCAUGGCCUGUGACACAGUAUCGUCAGCAGCUCUUGAUGGUCCUCCUUCAUAGUUUGCGUGUUCUCGACCUAGUUAACCACUGGCUCGAGUUCGAUAACGGGCUCAAGUGUGAGCACUUGUGACGCAGAUAAAUCUAUUUGGGUCCCUAGACCUUGCUCACUGUGAGCUCUCAUACCCCUAGUAUGAACGCCUUAAGUACUCAUCUUUUUGUUAUCGAAUUCUUAAGUUUUAUGUAAUUUUAUCUAACAAUUAGAAACAAGCUUUAAUUAUCAAUUCAUAAUGUUUUAGUUCUACAGUUUCAUCACUAGAGUAUCUGUAUCUAUAGUUUUCAAAGUCUAGAGUUUCACAGUGUAGUUUUCAAAAUCUAUAGUUUCAGUAUCUACAGUAUACUAUAGUUUCAUAUCAGAACUUAGUAAGGCAGAAGUACUUAUCUGGGCUAGCUUCGGAGCCUCGAUAUUUUUAGAAUAGAAUAAUUUUUUUAACCAAAGUAUGGAUUUUUCCCAAAAUCACUAUCUGAGUUUUUGAACCAGGCUCUGAUACCACUAAUUGUAACCUCCUAAAUCUAGCCUAAAUGUUAUAGCCGAAUCUCGAAGAUCACAUUAGCCAUGACAAUGGCGUAGUAAAAGCAUUUAGAAGCUUUUCUCUUUUAAAAGUCGCCUUUGCAAAAUGUCUUUGAGUCUUGUUUUAAGUAAAACCAAAAUUUAAUUGAUAUCGUUUAAUUUUUGAAAAACUCAAGUAUUGAGAGAGUAUUAGGAAAACAUCGUAAUUCAAUUAAAACAUUGCAGCGAACAAAUUUCUAUAUCUAAAAUUCAUUUUUCAUUUUGAAAACAUAGAUUAAUAUACAUAUUGUAAAAUAUUAUUUUCGUGAGAAAAUUGUGUCGUGUAAUGGAAAGUUAGUAUUGAGUUUUUGAAAACAUCAUUAAUGAGCUUUUUAUUAUUUUAUAUAAAAUCCAUCUUAAAUUGUUAUUUUCGCAAAUCCUUUAUAUGAUAGUUUUUAAAACAUAAACCAUGCAGAAAAAUCGCAAUCCAAAGUCCAAAAAAAACCCAAAGUCCAAGUCCAAAGUAAUAAAACAAAUCCUAGAAUAUCAAAUACCAAUAAAUAUAAUUUUUUUUGAAAAAUUAUCAAGAGCGCCUCCGUAGCCGAGCCCAUCCUAACCUCAAUUAUCUAAAAAAAAUUAGAAUUUAAAUGGGUGAGCUUAAAAAACCCAGUUUGGGUUACCAAUAAUAAUAACAUAAUUUAACUCAUAACAACAUCAAUUUAAGAAAAUCAUAAAUUGCCAAAUAUUCAUUCACAAAAUCAGAUAUGACAGAAUGCACAAUGACGAUGUCAAUGCAACCCUUUUCAGAAAACAGUACAAAUUUUUAGAAAACAUAUCCUACCCACCUCCGCUACACACCAUAAAGAGUUCCCUAUAACUCAUCCAUCCAAUAACACACCAAUAAUGUGGACAAGCCACCAGAUAAUGCAGCCGAGCUGCCAGAAACAGAAUAAUGUGGUCAAACCACCAGAUAUUGCAGAUUUACUGCCAGAUACAAAAUAUUGUGGACAAGCCGCCAGAUAAUGUAGAUUUGUUGUCAAAUACUUCCUCCAUACAUAUUUUCCCAACCCCAUGCAUGUGAUAUGGCAUACAAAACAGAUUUUCAGUAGGCAUGCUUUACAUGCGAAUCAAAAAUAUCGGAAUACGACAUGCUUAACAUGCAGAUCAGAUCUCGUAUAUAUUUUAUCAUAAUGGCAUGUUUAACAUGCGAAUCAGAAGAUCAGAAUAGUAACAUAUUUUUCAUACGAAUCAGAACAUCGAUAAUCAUAUUUUCACAUCAUUUGCAUAUGCAUAAUCCAAUAAUCAUAAAUCACAUGUCAUGAGUAAUAGAAAUCACAAAAUUACAUAUUUUAUAGAAAUCGCCAAAUCACAAUCAUUAUCACAGAUCUGAAGUUUCAGGAACUUACUUGAUAUUCUCUUUUAUCGAAUCUUAGAUCAAUCCUUAAGAAGACUUUUGUGCUCACCCAAUAUUUCAUUAUUCAAAGAAUAAUAUUAACAAUAAUAUUUUAUUACUUAUUAAAUUAUUUUUAUCAAUAUUAUCAUCAACCAUCAUUAUUAAAAGUAAGUGCCCACACCUUGUAAAUACAAUUGCACAAAUCCCAAUUCCACUUCGAAAGGGAAGAGUUCGAUUCUAAAAUCACCACGGCUUUGACCAAAUAAUCGUGUUAGUACGUAUUUAAUAAAUAAAUAACCCUUGAUUAAAACCGAUUGUGAUUCAGUGAGACUUACGCAAUUGAUCGUCAAAUCACACACUUCUACAAAUGGAAUACGAUUCUGGGAUUUUUUUAAUAGAACUUCAUGAAGGUAUGGUAAACAAAGUGUUAGUAACAUCCUAAUCAAAAUAAUAGUGUAACACCUCUACUCGUAUCUAUCGCCGAAAUAGGGUUACGGAGCAUUACCAUUAAAGCAUAACUUAAAAAAAUUCACAUUUAAUCAUUUCUUAAAUCAUGGUAUAAUUCAUUCAGUCAUAAACAUAUUGUCCCUUAUUCGAGCCCUCGAGGCCUUAGAAAUACUUUAGAAACGAUUCGGGACUAAAUCGGAAACAUUUGAAACAUUAAGGAAAAAGAUAGCAAAUUUCAUACUGCAAAGGGUCACACGGACGUGUAACAUACAGAAUAUGGACACAUAGCAGUGUUCCAGCCCAUGUCCAUGCCCGUGUAACUCUCUAACUUGGGUCACACGGCCAAGCCACACGUUCAUGUGCUAGGCCGUGUAACUAUCGAAAUGGCCUCACACGCCCGUGCGCUAGGCCGUGUGUUAGGCCAUGUAACUGCCUAACUUGCAACCUUUAAAACCUACAAAGGACACACGGCCAUGUCACAUGGUCGUGUGUCACACACGAUUGAGACACAAACCCGUGUUUUAGGCCGUGUGGACAAGAAAAUGGCUAAAAUCAAGCCAUUUCUUUCACCCUUCCCAAGCAUAAGCCUAAAUACUUUUGCACCUAUGAUCAAGGCUUCUAAACAUGCUCAAAACCUACAUAAAAAGGUCCAUACAAUAGUCUAAUAAUCCAUACAACCAAUAUGUCACUUAGACACCUCAAGCACAUACAUCAAACAUACCUAAACAUGUGCAUAUUUAACCAUUUAUCAACUAACUUGUUUCCAUGCAUGGCAAUGGCUACAAGGACCCAAAGUCAUUUUUUAAAUUUAACUCGAAUAAAUAUAUUUGAUUUAAUUCGAAUUUCAUCUCAUUCGACUCAAUUCGAGAAAAUUUCAAAUCGAGUUAAGAUGAUAAAAUAGGAUUCGUCAACUCGAUUAACUCGAAAUUUUUUCAUUCGAUUCAAUCGAAUGCUUACUCUUACCAGUAACAAAUAAAAUUUCAAUUUUAUCAUUAGAGUGCGUUUGAGAUCAUACCCCGACAUGAUAACGGCUUUCCUCGCCUACAGGACCUUCUGCUACUAAGAACAUAUUGAUGCAGGUCAUCAACAAAUAUAUUGAACUUUUUAUGCUAACUUAAGCGUCAACAAAUAUAUUUUUUAAACUUUAUAUAAUUCAAGAAAAUAAUCUUCAAUGAAUUUGAAUACAUAGUUAUCCUUUUGAACUUUAACUUUUAAAUAAUUUUUAUUUUUUAAAAUUUGAUUUAAUAAUUUUAUAAAUUUCAAUAAUGCUAUUAUAAAUUUAUCAUUUUAAAAAAAAUACUUUUUUAAUUUUUAAAAAUAAGUUUUGAAAUGAAUGAACCUCCAGUAAAAAAUAAAAAAUUCUUUUAAUUUUUAAUUAUUUACUUUUUGUUGAUGUGGCAACCGACGUGGCAGUACGUCAACAGCUCUCACUGACAUGGAGUGCCAUGUCAGCGCUCUUAACGGUCUAAGACGAAAAACAUUAGUCAAAGGGCCUAAUUGAUGCAAUUUGAAAGUUUGUGGGCUUAAUUGAGUGUAGUUUUUUGUGGAAGGACUUAAUUGGUUUUUUUCGAAAGUUUAGGGGCUUAUAUACCCCUUUAACCUAUUUUAAAUAAUGAUUACAUAAAGUAAAAUUAUAUUAUAUGUUGAAAAUAGUACAAAUAUUUUAAUAUUAUUAAAAAAUUGAUCUAGAAAAUAUCAAAUUUUUAAUAUGAUAUUUGAAAAUGUCUUUUUAUUAUAUUUAAAUUGUUAAAUAAGUUAAUAUAUUUAAAUAAUAUUUAACAAUUAAAAAAAGAAUUUAAAAAUUAAUUGCAAUAAUUAAAAAUAUUUUAUUUAAAAACUAAUUAAAAUUAAACACAUAAAAUCAUAUAAAACAUAUGUUAUUAGAAACUAGUAAAUUAAAACAUAGAACAAAUUAAAAAAAAUUGUAAUAGAAGGAUAAAGUUAACAAUUUGUAAUUAGUUAAAACUUAUUAAAUAGAAGUAACUAAAUUCAGGGGCUAAAGUAUAAAUUAAUCCAUUGGAUUAUUGUUAAAAAUAAGAUAUAAAUAUUCUCAAUUAAAAAUACUCGGGGCUAAGUUGUGAUUCAGAAAGUUGCAACGAUAGAUUCUAGAACAAUCGUUUACUCCUUGCUCAAAAAAUUCUUUUUAAAAAUAUAAUUAAAUUUAAAUAAAAAUUUUGUCACGUUAAAUACAUACAAGUUUCUAUCCGACCCGUACCCGUCUGAGAAGUAUAGAUUGAGUUCGUUCACGUAUUUUUCCUUCUUCUGGGAGUUGCGUCGUUUGUUUUUUGCUUCAACCGCGGCUUUUGGUUUUCCCAUUUUUCCUAAUUUCAAGAUAUGGGUAAGCUUCCUUCUUCUUCAUCACUUCUAAAUGGUCGAAGGAAUCUUUCUAUUCUAUACCCUUCUUUUUUUUCUUCUUCUUUUAACACCAUUGCUACCCACAUCGAAUCUUUAAGUAAGGAUUCCAUGCCUGUAAGGGGAUUGCAGAAAAAGCAUGAUCGCUUCCAUAAUCUUAAUGGUGCUUUAUCUUUAUUUAACAAGAUGAUUGACGAGUGCCCUAAGCCUUCAAUCGUGGAGUUCUCUAUAUUAUUACAGGCCAUUGUUAGAAUGAAACAUUAUGCGCUUGUUGUUUUUCUGGGUAGCCAGAUGGAAUUACGGGGAGUUUCACAUAAUGCUUAUUCUUUCACCAUCUUGAUUAAUUGCUUUUGUCAUUUAGGUAAAGUUGAUUUUGGGUUUUCUGUUUUGGGGAAAAUGCUCAAGUUAGGUUUUGAACCUAAUGUUGUAACUUUGUCCACCUUGAUUAAUGGACUUUGUAAUCAAAGCAGGGUUUCUCAGGCUGUGGAUUUGUUUUAUGAAAUGAUCGAAAAAGGGUAUCGACCUGAUUCAUUUGCUUGCAAUACAGUACUUAAUGGGUUGUGCAAGUCUGGUAACACUGGUCGAGCUGUUAGAAUGAAACAUUAUGCGCUUGCUGUUUCUCUGGGCAGCCAGAUGGAACUAUGGGGAGUUUCACAUGAUGCUUAUUCUUUCAACAUCUUGAUUAAUUGCUUUUGUCAGUUAGGUAAAGUUGAUUUUGGGUUUUCUGUUUUAGGGAAAAUGCUCAAGUUAGGUUUUGAACCUGAUGUUGUAACUUUGUCCACUUUGAUUAAUGGACUUUGUAAUCAAAGCAAGGUUUCUCAGGCUGCAAGUUUGUUUGAUGAAAUGAUCAAAAAAGGGUGUCGACCUGAUUCAGUUGCUUACAAUACAGUACUUAAUGGGUUGUGUAGGACUGGGAACACUGGUCGAGCUGUUAAGUUUCUAAGGACGAUGAAUGAAAGAGGUUCCGAACCCAAUAUUAGAGCAUAUAGCACCCUUAUUGACUGUCUUUGUAAGAAUGGGUUACUAAAUGAGGCUCUCGACCUCUUCUCUGAAGUGAAGGUUAAGGGCAUUAGACCAAAUAUUGUUAUUUACAAUUGCUUAAUUCAUGGUAUGUGUAAUUCAGGCCAGCAGCAGGAGGCAACCAAGCUUUUGAAUGAAAUGGUGGGUAACAAUGUUUCUCCUGAUAUUUUCACGUAUAACAUAUUGAUUGAUGCACAUUGCAAGGAGGGGACAAUUUCGGAAGCUGUAAAUAUCUUUAAUGCGAUGAGAAAGCAAGGUGUCAAGCCUGAUGUUGUCACCUAUAAUAUAGUGGUUGAUGCAUGGUGCAAGGAGAGGCUAAUUUCUGAAUCUUUGGAUAUGGUUCACACAAUGAGAAAGCAAGGCAUUGAGCCUGAUGUUGUCACGUAUAGUACAUUAGUUGAUGCACAUUGCAAGGAGGGGAGGGUUUCUGAAGCCGAAGAUAUUGUUGACACAAUGAGAAAGGAAGGCAUUGAGCCUGAUGUUGUGACGUAUAAUAUAUUGGUUGAUGCGUAUUGCAAGGAGAGGAGUAUUUCUAAAGCUGUAGAUACCAUUGCCACAAUGAGAAAGCAAGGUGUGGAGCCUGAUGUUGUCACCUAUAAUAUAUUUAUUGAUGCACUUUGCAAGAAUGGGAUGGUUUCUGAAGCUGAAUGUAUUGUCGACACAAUGAGAAAACAAUGCAUUGAGCCUAAUUUUGUCACAUACAGAACUCUUAUGUUGGGUAUGUGUCAAUUAGGGAGAGUUUCAACUGCAUGUGAACUUUUAAGAAAGAUGCUUACAUCUGGAGAAGUUCCAGAUCUAAUGACCAUUUCGAUUUUGUUGGAUGAUUUUUGCAAAAGAGGUAAACUUGACGAGGCAUUGGAAUUUUUUCAAGCAAUGCGGAAUAGUGGGUUGAAACUUGAUACCGACUCUUAUAGUGUUGUAAUUGAUGGCUUGUGCAAAGCUGGGCAAAUUGAAGUUGCAAAGGAAUUAUUUCAUGAACUCUCAGUCAAUGGUUUAAAACCAAAUGUUUACACAUAUGAUAUUGUGAUUAAUGGAUUAUGUAAAGAGGGAUUGCUAGAUGAAGCAUACCAGUUGUUUAGAAGCAUGGGAGAUAAUGAUUGUUUGCCUGUUGGCUGCUGUUAUAAUGUAAUGAUCCAGGCGUUUCUUCGAAAUAGCUAUACCUCAAAAGCAACGGAACUUCUUACAGAAAUGGUUGGAAAGGGCUUUUGUGCAGAUUUAUGCACUGCCAUCUUAUUUGUGGAUCUCAUCUUGCAAUCUAAUGAAUCAAUUUUGAUCUGAAAUGUUUCACUAUUAGUGUAAAGAUUGUCACAUUGCGAAUGUGAAUCAAUUUGUUCGGUAACCAAUUGUACUUCUGUGAUAAGUUAAAGUUUCUGGAAACUACAGUGAGUAUCAAAGUCUAUUUUCAAUUUUGUUAAUGGACUUUAAACAUUAAGGAUGAAGCAAAUAAGUGUUAUACACCAUGUUUCACCCUUCACUAGUGAUUUUCUUGAGAAUGUUUUCUUCUUAGAUCUUUGAAGUAAGUUUCUUUAUUGGGUUGGCUGUUUCCUGCCAAGCCGAGUUUUUAUUCAGCACCAAUGACUAUUAUGCGCAAAUCCUCAACACUUCAUUGCAAAAGCUCGAAGCUUCACUUGCUAAAAGCUGAAGCAAUCGGCUGGUUUCAAUUGGCUGCUCCAGCAGGUGCCUCUUUGAUUCUUUCUUUCUUUAACUUGGUUGUUAUAAGAAGUAACUAAAAUUGACAAUAGAAAUGCAAGAGAUUCCAACUUUCCCACCGCAAGUGGCCCAGACAACUUGUUAUAUACCUUGUCUGUUCUCACCAUCAUGCCUAAACAGGCUGCUUUAACGCAUACUUUAGUAGGUUUUAUGAUUCUCCCCUUUGAACUUUAAGUAUGGUGCUUUUAUCUUUGCAGGAUGCCUGUCAUGAAUGAUGUAAUUAACAUGAUCAUCUUCCAUUCUCAAAAGAAAAAAAAAAGACCAUAUUCCUUGCAUGGGGUAUCAGUGCUAGAGCUGAUGAUUAUACUCAGGAUGGAAGGUACCUCAGAGUGGAUGCAUUCUUAACUCAUCUUAGCUGAUCAAUAAAAUAUUGCUUUCUUGUUUCUAAAAUUUUUUCAAAAUCAAUUUUUUGAAGGCAGCAUGAGCAUUUCUCUGAAUAAAAUAAUGGUGCUCCUCCAGUCCCAGUCAUGAACUAGCAGGAAGCGCAUCUUGGAGUCCUGUCCAUAGUGAAGGUAUUGUUUUGUACCUUAAAUGUUUGGAGACAUGUUGCUUCCAGUCAUAUUUUUCUAGGUGGUGCACUAAAAAGAUCGUUGAUGAUAGGGAUGGAGGAACUUCAGUAGCAGCUGCUGCCAGGUUGUCUUCUCCUGCUAGCAAUAAUCCUAACCAAGCCACCUGCGAUUUGGUAACUCAGCAUCUCCUUCAAGUCAAAAGGUGGAGACUUUCGAUGAAUUUGAUCCACGUGUUUCAGUUUCAGGUAUGAAUUUUGUAUUUAAAUACCAUGGUUUGUAUGCUCCAAUCUUCCAAUGUUAUCAGUUGGAUGAUCAUGGUCUGAGUCUGGUGCCCUUAUUGCUCAUCCAAUAUGACACAGUUGAUAUGGUGACAUUUUGGCUUGAACAAUCUCCUUGCAAAAUAUUAACUUAUGAGUUGUUUAAGUAAUAAGUUUGGUAUCCUAUGUUGCUUCACAUUCCAUUCCAUUUCAUUUUUUAUUUUGCUGCAAAGUGUAUAUUUCCUGCAGAAUUGAUUUAAUCAUUUUAUUUUUUGAUUGUUUUCUGGUACUUAAACUUUUGCAAUUGGUUUUAUACUAGUGGCAAUUUUAAUUAUUGUACAUGAUAACUUUAAAUCAAAACAUAAAAGAUUGCUACAAUGGCUUCUUGUUUCAAAAUUUGACUUUUCUUUACUCAUUUGAAAUUAAAUUACUAGUUGGAGUUUCAUGUGAUUGUAUGAGCAAAAUCUCCUAGUUUUGAGGAACCUAAAUUGGAUUCAUCUUGAUGCUAUUGCAUUUAUCCCUUUAACCUGGAACUUAUUUUAAUCUUUUGCUCAUCUGUUUCAACUGCCCCGAUCCUGUUGCCACACCUCCCCUGCCCCUGCUAAUGCUGUUCCUACUGCUUCGACCGUUUCUGAACUAGACUGUCUUGGUGCACUGUAGGAUUCAUUGGCCUUUGUGCCAACUAUACUCGAGACCCCUGCUGCUAAGGCUGAUGCCCUUCUAAAUCUGGUGCUUUACCCACCUUUUCUGAUAAUCAACAGGCAUCUAACUUUGGAAAUCAGGUAGAUAUGAUUUGUUUAAUCUCAGACUUAUUAAUCAACCUUUUUCUUUGGUUAAUGUACAAGGAUUUCAUUCCAUCUGUCUGCAAUAUAUGCCUAAAUGGCACCGUGAAUAUGGAUAUGCUGUUCUGUUGUUGCCUUGUUUGUUUUCAUUUGAUUUAAGUAUCUUUAAUUGAAUCACCAUGUAAGACAGCAUGGAUAGUUAAAAUUGAAAUUACUUUGCAUAAUCAUCUUUAUCAUCUGCAUAUUUACUAUAGAAGGGUAACGUAAAAAGGUUUCAGUGUGAAUUUCAAAAUCUACUAGAUCAGCUGCUAACAUUUACCAAUCCGCACAGCCAAGUGGUAAUCCAUAAGGCCGGCCUGUGCAACACAGUGCUAACCCAUAUGGCCAAAAUGGGUUGCCAAGUACCAAACCCUGUGGCCAGCUAGCACAACCAAAUGCUAGUCCAUACAGAACCUGCACGACCAAAUGCUAAUCCAUAUGACCAACCUGCACAGCAACAUGCUAAUCCAUAGGCUCAAACUGCACGGCCAAAUGCUAAUCCACACGGCCAAACUGCUCAGCCAAUGCUAAUGCAUAUGGCCAACCUGUACAGCUAAGUGCUAAUCCAUAUGCCCAACCUACAUAGUCAAGUUCGAAUAAUGGAUAUGGCAAAUUUACCUCCCACAGUGUCUGUGGCCCCCCAAAUUCCCGGGUCUGCUGCACAGGCUCCUGUCAGUUCACAAAUGGCUGCUCAACCUCAAAGCCCUGCCGUACCAGCUGCUCAGCUUAACACUGGAAACGUUUUUUAUGGCUGGAUCUGCUGUGCCAGUUGGUUCGCCCUCUGCUCCUCAAACCACAAAUGAAUCAGGUGCACAUAGUAACAACAAUGUCCUGGGAGGCUUCUUUUCACUACCUGGAUCAUACACUUCAAUGGCACAACAGACGGCUCCUCCCUUGUCAACAGCAGCACCUGUUAUAGUUCCCAACUCUCAGAGGAUAAAUUUCAGCCCAAGUCAAAUGUUUGGGCUGAUACAUUGAGCAGUGGACUGGUCAAUUUAAACAUAUCUGGAGGUAAGUACUAACCUCUCUUUCUAAAUAUGCCCCUCCAACAAGAAUUAACAUCGUAUGACAAAAGCAUUUUAUUUUCUAUAUGCAAUGGUAAAAAAAACCUUUAUUUUCUAUAUGCAGCUAAAAAGAACCCAUUGUCUGAUAUAGCGGUGGACUUUGGUGCAAUCAAUCAGAAGGAAAAUAGGAUGGAAAAGCCUGCCCUGACUGCAGUGACAUCUACUGUCACGAUGGGUAAAUCUAUGGAAUCUGGUUUUGGGAUUGGCUGUGCUGGUGCUAGUGUUCUCAGAGCUCCAGAGGAUCCCAUGGUGGGUUCCAGCAUGGGCAUGGGGUAUGGGAGUGGGUGAUGGUCCUAUCCAAGGCAUUGGCAUUGGAGUUUAGGCUAUGAUGGUAUGAAUCGGCAACCUAUGAGCAUGGGAAUGGGGAUGAACAUGGGCAUGAAUCCAGGCAUGGGGGUGAAUAGGCAGCCUGAUGAUAAGUGGUGGUGGUGGUGGUGGUGGUUACCAAUGAGAAAUCAUUGCCUCAGACAUUCAGUUUUUUUCAGUAACAAUAAUAGUUUUAGUAUAUUUACUGGGAAGAUGCAAGGAAACACUACCCAGUUAGAAAUCCAAGUAAUCACCUUGCGUAAUCAUAUCUAAUGUUGGAUUUUUAACCUUUUUGUUUUUAAACUUAAGAUAUCACAAUUGGGAAUCUGAUUAUAGCUUUGACUGUGAAAUGUGUGUUUAAUAUUUUGAAGAGAUGCAUCUCACUUUAUCCUUCUAAACCAAGCAUUGUCAGUAAUUAGAUUAGAAAAGAAAAGAUGAAGCUCAUUACACUUCGGACGCAUUUCAAAGUCAACUGCAUUAAGGUUAUAGACGGAUAACGAAAAUUUGCAAUCUGAAAAAAAAUAUAUACAUAUAUUUGACUGGAUUUUUUAUGAGAGAAAUUUAGAAUACUAUUAAUAGUACGGAAGACAAUAAAGAGGCAAUCUUCAACAUAAGACCUCUUAAGCCUCUGGGUCUAGAUGGAAAACCAGUCAUUUUCUUCUAAGCUUGUUGGACUGUUGGUAUUAAAAGCUUAUCUCAGUGUUUUCAGAACUGGGAAAAUGUUGAAAGAAAUGAACACCAUCGACACUGAAGCAAAUCAAUCUAGAGGUGGUAAAGUUACUUUAGACUAGAUUUGUCCAUGGUGGAGUGACUCCAAUUUAAAUUAAUAUAAAACUAUAAAAAUAUUUUAUUCAAUUUUAAUUAUAAAAAUAUAUAAAUAUUAAUAUAAAAAUAUAUAUACUAUUAUUAUUAUUAUUAUUUUGAAAGGAGAUAUUUUAAACAAUAAUAUAAAAGCUUAUGAACAAGUUAGAUUAGACUUGGGCCUCGGCUUAAAAUUUUAUUUAAAAUCAAGUUCUAACCUGAUUCAUAGACAUCUUUAUUUUAGAUCCAUCAACCUUUGCAAGGUUGUUUACAAAAUUAUUGUCAAGGUAAUGGCGAAAAACCUUUGUAAUGGCCCAAAUUUGCCCGGCCCGAUACAAAUAUUAGAACCCAAAUAAAUAAAUAAAUAAACCAAAUAAAUGUCCAGCUUAUUACAACCAAGCCCAAACCCAAUUACAAAACCCAAAAUUCCCAAGCCUAAAUUGUUAACCCAAUACUUAACCCUCCAGGCCCAAAUCACUUAGCCCAAAUUAGCCUAACAUGGGGACAUCAGAAACCCUAGGCAACAGUUACCGCGCCGCAAUCGAGCACGAGCCCCCUCUCGUGUGUGUGCGCGAGCCUCCGUACGAGCACGCCCCUCCCACGCAUAGCCCCCGUACAUGCUGGCCCUCGUAUGACCAUGUACCUGCAAAGGACCAACAAACAAGGAAAAAACAGAACGCAACAAACGCAAAAGGAAUAGCAGAGAAAAAUAGGAGGAAUUUAGAAAAAUUACCUGUAAAAUUUCUAUUGUAUUUCCGGCUAUAUAAAGUUGUUUUCGAUUUUUGUAAAGGGAUCCCCUUUUUUUGGAACACGCACACUGAAUGUAAAAAACACACGCAUUUUCAAUACAAUUGGAAGAAAGGUGACUUCCCAGUAUUUUUCUUUUUUACUGGUUAUCAGACUCAUUUUCUUUUAUUUCUUUUUUCUAGUUUUUAUGUUCUUCAAUCUUUGUUUAAAAUAAAAACAAUAAAAAGGAGAGAGAGAGGCAUACCUUGACUGGACCUUUCGCUCUCCCUCCGUUGUCAUCGGAGUUUGGAGCAGGGUUCGGGGAGCCUUCGAAGGAGGCGAUGAUCCACCGAGCGGCGCAGAGGGAGAGUGUGCUUAGGUUUUCUUUUAUUUAUUUUUUUCUUUUUUCCUUCAAAUGGUAGAUUAGGUUAGUUUAGGUUUUUUGUUUUUUAGGUAGAUUAUUAAAACGACGCCGUAUGAUAGCCCUCAACCCGCGCGGUGACCCGACCCGAGGGAAGGAUCCGCUCGCUUUGGGUCUGAUGGGCUAUUUGAGCACUGAACCCCUCCGCAUUUCGUUUUUAUUUCAGUUUAGUUUUUCUUCAAUUUUUUUAAUUGUUACCUUAUGUUUGAUUCUGAUUUCAUCCGAGUCCUCAGUCAAAUGACGUCGUUUCACUGUAGGAUUUGAAUGUCCAGAUCCAUGCGUUUAAUUGCUGCUUUAGUCCCUAUGAUUUCUGAUGAUUUUCAAUGCAGACGUUGGCUCAUUUAUUUCAAAUUAACCCUUAAAAUUUUGUUUGAUUUCAAAAUAGGUCUGCUUUCAUUGAACUAAUUGGUUUAUUAUCAUUAAUUUCAUUUGUUGUAUUAUUUUAAUAAUAUAUUUAUAUAUAUUAGUUAAACUAAUUUUUUUAUAAAUUCGUAAUAUUUCAUAUUUUCAUAUAUAUUUAUAUAUAGCAUGUAUUUUAGUAUACGUAUGUAUAUAUAAUAACCUAUCAUUAAUUUCAAAUGAUAUUUUUAUGCAUAGAAAUCUUAUUCCUUUUAAAUUUGUCAUUUUAUUUCAUUUCAUUUAUUUAACUUUUGUAUAUUAUUAUUAUGCAUGUAUAUUAUUUGGUAUAUUAUAUAUUUUUCUUAUGUAUUUGCUUUAAAUUCGUUUUGUUAUUACAUUUUUUUUACAUAGUAUUUUUUAUUUUCCUUUAAAUCUAUUGCAAACUCGAAUAUAUACAUUAUGACGAAAUUUUAUACAUAUAACUUAUCGUACAUUGAUAAUUUUGCAUCCUCUCCCUUGUAUGUUUUUUCAUUUUAUUUUGUCUUAAAACUUAUUAUACUUUGUUUGUAUUGAUUUGCUUGAUAUUCCUUAUAAUUCAUUUGCUUUUAAUGUUAGUGUUGACACCAUUUUUUGAAUGAAAACGAGGUCGACUUGGAUUUUGAAAAUGAAAACGAAAAAAACGGGAGUCGCCACCUAUCCUUUUUGAUAAGGUGUGAUCAGUUCACCUUGAAAAGUGGUUGCUUUUAAUAAACGAUUUGAUUUUAUUAAAACAACGGUUUUGGUCCACGAAAGUCAGAAAAUAGGUUCGGGAGUCGGUUACGCACGAGGAAGGAUUAACACCCUCGAUACGCCCAAAAUUGGUACCUAGUUGAUUACUUAAUGUUUUAGUGUUGAAAAUUGAAAACUUUAAAGAAAUUUAAAAUACGAUCCUUAAAAAAAACUCGAAUGGCAUAGAUUAAAAUUAAAGGGGAUAUUCGGCGAUUUGGUUAAACAAGAAAUCGAAACCCAGCACAUUAGGGCACGUUCCUCGAAUUUCCAAACGCAAAACAUUGCCUCAUUUGAAAUUUUUAAAAGGAUAUUUAACUAUUUGGUCGGUUGAGAAAAAUCGAAACCCAACACAUUAGGGCACGUUUUCUCGAAUUUUCAAACGCAAAACAUUGCCUUAUUUUGAAAACUUUUUCUUCUAAAAGGAUAUUUAGCUAUUUGGUUGAACGAGAAAAAUCGAAACCCAGCACAUUAGGGUACGUUUUCUCGAAUUUCCAAACGCUAAAUAUUGCCUCAAUUAGAAAUAUUUUUCCUUUUGAAAUAUGAUAUUUAUAUGCAUAAUGGAAUAUUAAACAUGAUAGUGUGAAAUUAAAAAAAUGAAAAAAAAACGAAUAAUAAAAUAAAUAAAUCAUGCAUAUAUCAUAGGAAAUAAAUAAAUAAAUAAACUAAAGCAUAAAGAUGGACAUAUAAAUGAAUACAUAAGUGAACAUAAAAUUAAAGGAAAAUAUAUGAAAAUUAUAAAAUAUAAAAAAAGGUAGGUACAUAUAAGGGAAAUAUGCAUAUGUAUGUAUAUACAUAAAAUUAUAAAAAUAUAAAAAUAUAUAUACAUAUAUAUGUUUUAAGGAUAUUAAAUAUAAAAGGUUAUAUAAAUAUAUACGUGUAUAUAUAUAUGAUUAUGAAAAUAUGGAAAAAUAUGUAGAUAUAAAUGAGAAAAAAAUAAUAAUAAUCAUAAUAGAUUUAGUAAUAAAAUAGCCAAAAUAACGAAAAAAGGAUCGAAUUGAAAAUUUAAAACAAAAUCUGGGAUUAAAUCAUAAAUAAAUUAAAGGGGAAGGACCGUCUUGAACGCGCAUGUAGCGUGGAAGCACUAAAAAGGAAAUUUAACCUUCCUCCAAAAUGACAUCGUUCCAGCGGGGACUAAAUGAAAUAAAAGAAAAAUAAUGGGGUCAAAAUUAAAAGUAAAAAUAAACUGCAUUAAAAAAUAGAAAAUACGGAAGGACGAAGGCGGAAAAUAUCCCAAAAGCUGAAAACGCGCGGAUCCUGUAGCGGGUUGGGUCUCAUGCACAGGUCUGAAAGUGAAAUGACGCCGUUUUGUACCUGAAGGGCUUGCCCAAAACGACGUCGUUUUGGGGGGUUAUAAAAACCCAAUUUGGUAAGAAAAAAUUUAUUUGCCCCUUUUUGUUUUAAAAAAAAAAAGCUUAAAAUUCUCUCCCCCCUUUCUUUUUCCGUCCAAACCCCGACCUAUGGUCCAGCCAAUCGCCGCCGUGCCGGUCGUCGGCACCACCGUAAGCGGCGGUCGGAAGGUGAAAGGUUGGGUUUUUAACCCCGUUUCAAAGGCCGAUUGUAGAUCGAACCUUCAUGGUCCUAAGGCCAAGGGAGAAAAUCCCCGAAAAGUCACUUUCCCUGUCCAUUUUCGGUGACCCGAAGGACUCCGGCAACACCCCAAACACGGCGUCCAGGUAUGUUUCUUUUUUAUUUAUCCUUUAGGCUUAUUAACUGUGAAAGAAAAGAAAGAGCAAAAAUAGAAUGGAAUCGAAGAGGAAAAAGACUAAAAAUAUCACCUUUCAAAUUGAUUUUUUCUUUUCUAUUUCUUCAAUAUUUUUUAAAAAAAAAUCGGAACCCCUUUACAAAGAUUCAGUCUCGGCUUUAUAGCCGAUUUACAUAAGUUUUUUAGUCUAUUUUUUUCUUGCUGAUGUUUCCUUUCUGUCAUUGCAGGCAUGGGCGCACGUGGAUGGAGAUGGCAGUGGUAGUUGGCGGUGGUUGCUGGCAGAGUAGUGAGCAGAAGACCAAAGGUCAGAAGACCCUAGGAGCGGCGCCUAGGGUUCUUCUAUUUUCUGCUAGGUUUUGUUCUGUUUUGGGUUUUGGGCUGAGGGUAGGCUAUUGGACCUAUUCGGGUUUGGCAUGUGGGCCGAUUCUACUGGGUUAGGUCUAUUUUAAGUGGGUAGUUGGGUAUUGGGUUAUUGGACUAGGGCAAAAUGUUGGGUUGUACAACUACCCCUAUUUGCUCGUUGUCGUGUAACGAGAACGGAAGAAAGAUCUAGAAAGACCAAUAUUUUGCCCGGUCUCGCCGAGUCUUAACUUCUUUGACGCUUCUCUUCGAGUAGCUUUAUUUCUAUCCACUGUGUCUUGUUGUUUCAAUCCAUUCAACUGUGCUUCAGAAAGAUCUGGCUUGUAGCUUUAAUCUUCUUCGCAACAAUUUCAGGGGGACGAGAUUCGUGGUUUUAGUCUGCUCCACUGUAACGUCGGGGAGAUAAGACUUGUAUCUUCAACCUGCUCCCUUGUAACUUCAUGGAGAUAAGGUUUGAUAUAAUAAGAUCCAAUUUGACCUACUGUAACUUCAGAGGUAUAUGAUUCAUUGUUUUAAUCUGCUCCACUGCAACUUCAGGGAAAUAGGAUUGGUAUCUUCUGUCUGCUCCACUGCAACUUCAGGGAGAUGAGACUGGAUGCGAUCUGCUCUACUGCAACUUCAGAGAGAUGAGAUAUGUGGUUUUAAUCCGCUCCACUGCAACUUCAGGGAGAUAGGAUUGAUUUCUUUCGUCUACUCCACUGCAACUUCAGGGAGAUAAGACUGGAUGCGAUCUGUUCUACUGCAACUUCAGAGAGAUAAGAUCUGUGGUUUUAAUCCGCUCCACUGCAACUUCAGGGAGAUAGGAUUGAUUUCUUUCGUCUGCUCCACUGCAACUUCAGGGAGAUAAGACUGGAUGUGAUCUGCUCUACUGCAACUUCAGAGAGAUAAGAUCUGUGGUUUUAAUCCGCUCCACUGCAACUUCAGGAAGAUAGGAUUGAUUUCUUUCGUCUGUUCCACUGCAACUUCAGGGAGAUAAGACUGGAUGCGAUCUGCUCUACUGUAACUUCAGAGAGAUAAGAUCUGUGGUUUUAAUCCACUCCACUGCAACUUCAGGGAGAUAGGAUUGAUUUCUUUCGUCUCUUCCACUGCAACUUCAGGCAGAUAAGACUGGAUGCGAUCUGCUCUACUGUAACUUCAGAGAGAUAAGAUCUGUGGUUUUAAUCCGCUCCACUGUAACUUCAGGGAGAUAGGAUUGAUUUCUUUCGUCUGCUCCACUGCAACUUCAGGGAGAUAAGACUGGAUGUGAUCUGCUCUACUGCAACUUCAGAGAGAUAAGAUCUGUGGUUUUAAUCUGCUCCACUGCAACUUUAGGGAGAUAGGAUUGAUUUCUUCUGUCAUGACCUGUAUAAUGAACCUAAUUAUGCCUAAUGAUUGGGAUGACAUGAUCAAAAUGAAUCAAAUGCUCCUAACUAGAUGUGUAUGAAUUAUAUUUGCAUGAAUGCAGAAAUGUUAUGAAAAAUGUUCUCGAUGCUUUAGUUGUUAUUGCCCAUUGUUCAACACGUCAGAAUGCUAUCUUGUCAGGUUGAUAAUGCUCAUUUCUUUCUUGGUCGGACUACCUCUACUGUAACUUUUAAAGUUCAAUCCUUUGUGAUUUUCGAAGUUAUACCCACCGUAAUUUUGGGAUUCAAAACCAUCCUCAUCAUACUGUAAUUUAGGAGUAUAAGAUCUGAAAACUUCUUGGUCUCGCACACCAUUUCCAAGGUGUCGUAGCAAAAGUUUAUGCACAAUUGCAAAAUUUUCUCUUCCGAGAGACCUCUUCUUAUCAUUCGGUGAUCAUUAUUUGUUUGUUCGUUGAAACUUUGUCAUCAAUAUGUCAUUUUUUUCAAUCCGUGUUUGGACGACAAAAUUUAGAAGGAUAGUCCUGACUUAGACUUUUCCUUUUAGACAUUUUAAACCUUAAAAUUGGUGUGUUCUAAACAACAGUCCUGUUCCAGGUUCCUACAUUAUUUAGAAUUUUCUAGAGUAAUAUGCAAAACACCUUUUGCUUGAACAUUCAGCCUAUUAAUCGUUAUUUCAGAUGUUUGAAAAAGAUUAUCAUAAUGGACAAACAAAAUGUUAUUGAGAACAAAUCUCAAAAUGAAUAAGUUAAUCAAGAUAGCAAAUUUUGCUAAGACAAGAUGAGAAAAGACAAUGGACAAGAUGGAAUUUUAUUGGGAGCAAAACUUGAGAUGAAUACAUUAAUCAAGACAACCAAUUUUGCCAAGAUUCAAAAUGAGUAAGAUGACGACAGGUGCCCCAGAUAUCGCAGCACAAGCCUCCCUGCAUAAGCUUUCUGAAAAUCAUUCUGAAUUUAAUAUGUGUUUAGGGAAUCUUCAGUAUUUUGUCGAUACCCCAAGAUGUUACCUACCCUUUUCUUGUUGAUUUAGGUAUAGCGAGACCACCGCAUGCCCCAGAUUUUGGUCAAAAUUUGAGUUGUCCCGAUCACCUCAUGUCCCGUCAAAAUUUGAGCCGCCUUUUCAAGUUUUCAACCCAAAUCCCCUUGGUCUCAAGGUGCCCUUUACGGGUUUUCACUUGGGCCCCCUUCCUUCAAGUGAAGUAUUUCUUAACCGAAUCCGAGUUUACAGGAUUUGGUAAGUUUUUACCAUCCAUCUCGCUCAAGAUCAAAGCUCUUCCAGAAAAGACCUUCUUUACAACAUAAGGACCUUCCCAAUUUGGCAUCCAUUUUCCUCUGAAAUCUUUUUGUAGAGGAAGAAUCUUUUUCAACACUAGGUCCCCCUCGUGAAAUUCUCUAGGACGAAAUUUUUUGUUAUAGGCUCGCAUCAUUCGUUUUUGAUACAUCUGACCGUGACGAAUAGCUUUCAGUCUCUUUUCUUCUAUUAAGUUCAGCUGAUCAUAUCGAGAUUGAAUCCAUUCGGCCUCAUCUAACUUUAGUUCAGCGAAUACCCGGAGAGAAGGGAUUUCAACCUCUAUGGGUAAAACUGCCUCCAUCCCAUAGACUAAAGAAAAUGGUGUUGCCCCAGUAGAGGUCCUAACAGAGGUACGAUAUGCGAUGAGAGCAAAAGGUAAUUUCUCAUGCUAGUCUUUGUAGGUUUCAAUCAUUUUCCCUACAAUUUUCUUGAUAUUUUUGUUAGCUGCUUCCACGGCACCAUUCAUUUUUGGACGAUACGGUGACGAAUUAUGGUGUCUGAUCUUGAACUGACUACAAACUUCCGCUAUUAAGUUGUUGUUCAAGUUCAACGUAUUGUCGGAUAUGAUUCUUUCAAGCAUCCCGUAUCGACAUAUGAUCUCUUUUUUCAAAAACCUGCUAACUGCUGAUUUCGUGACGUUAGCAUAUGAAGCAGCCUCAACCUAUUUAGUGAAAUAAUCGAUAACCACAAAGAUAAAAUGAUACCCAUUAGAAGCCUUUGAAGAUAUUGGCCCGAUGACAUCCAUUCCCCACAUAGAGAAAGGCCAUGGAGAAACCAUAACAUGAAGGGGUGAAGGUGGUGCAUGCAUUUUGUCACCAUAAAUUUGACAUUUAUGGCACCUUUUGGCAUAAUUAAUGCAAUCCCCUUCCAUGGUGGACCAAUAGUACCCAAAUCUCAUAAUUUGUCUGGCCAUCGUGAAGCCGUUGGCAUGCGUUCCACAGAUACCUUCAUGCACUUCUUCCAAAAUUUUCUUGGCUUCCACGGCAUCCACACAUCUUAACAGUACUUGAUCAUUCCUUCUUUUGUAUAACACUUCCUCAUCUAAAACAUAUUCAACGGUUAUUAUUCUCAGAGUUCUCUUGUCAUUCUCGGUUGCUUGGCUAAGGUACUCCCGAUUCUUCACGUACUGUAGGAUACUCUAAUACCAAGGACAAUCAUCUUUUCCUUCCUCUUUAAUAUUGUAGCAAUGAGCUGGGGUAUCAUAGAUACUCAUCUGAAUAGGCCUCAUUGCCUCAAGUCUAGUCUAUUCACCUGAAUCAUCGAAGCUAGAGUAGCUAAUGCAUCAGCCAUUUGGUUUUCCUCUCAUGGGAGAUAACAGAAGGUGAUAUCGUCAAACUCAUCAGCCAAGUCGAGGACCAGUUUUCUAUAAUCGAUUAAAUUAGGGUCUCUAGUCUCUCAUUCCCCUUUGAGUUGGUAUAUCACCAAUGCAGAAUCCCCAUAUACUCUUAGCACUUUGAUGUUUCGUUCAAUGGCUGCACGAAUGCCCAUAAUACAUGCUUCAUAUUCUGCCAUAUUAUUUGUGCAAUCGAAGUCUAACUUGCUAGCAACACGAUAAUGAUCUCCACUUGGGGAUACCAAGAUUGCCCCGAUUCCAUUACCUGUAGCAUUCGAAGCUCCAUCAAAAUUUAACUUCCAUACGUGCUCCAUUUGAGGAUUCUCUUCAGUGUUCGCCACAUACAUCAAGUCCUCAUUUGGAAAAUCGAAGUCUAAAGACUCAUAGUCUUCCAAAGCUCUACUAGCUAAGAAGUCAGUUAUCGCACUUCCCUUUACGGCCUUCUGACUUACAUAAACUAUGUCAAACUCAGAGAGCAGAAUUUGUCAUCUAGCUAUUCUCCCAUUUAAAGCAGUUGAUUCCAUCAUAUACUUUAAAGGAUCCAACUUUGAAGUCAGCCAAGGUGUAUGAUACAACAUAUACUGCCUUAGUCUUCGGGUUGUCCAGAUUAAAGCACAACACAACUUCUCAAUUGAUGAGUAUCUCAUUUCGCAAUCAGUAAAUUUCUUGCUGAGAUAGUAUAUUGCCCUUUCUUUCUUUCCCGUCUCAUCAUGUUGGCCCAAUACACAUCCCAUAGAAUUCUCAAACACUGUUAGAUACAGUAUCAAUGGCCUAUCUGGACUUGGUGGCGAUAGUACGAGAGUAUUAGCUAAGUAUUGCUUUAUCUUAUCGAAAGCCUUCUGACAUUGCUCAUCCCAUUCACCCGGAUUAUAUUUCUUUAAUAGACGGAAUACUGGAUUACAUUUCUCCGUCAAUUGUGAGAUGAAUCGAGUAAUGUAAUUCAAUCUCCCUAGGAAACCUCGAACUUCCUUCUGAGUGCGCAUGGGAGGUAAAUCUCGUAUUGCCUUUACUUUGUCUGGGUCAACCUCAAUCCCCUUUCUGCUAACUAUGAAGCCUAAUAACUUCCCUGAUCUGGCUCCAAACGUGCAUUUUUCCGGAUUAAGCUUGAGCUGGAAUUUCCUCAAUCUCAAAAAUAACUUUUUCAAGACUUGAACAUGCUCUUCUUCAGUUCUAGACUUUGUGAUCAUAUCAUCAACAUAGACUUCGAUCUCCUUAUGCAUCAUGUCAUGAAACAAAGUCACCAUGGCCCUUUGAUACGUUGCCCCUACAUUCUUCAAUCCAAACGCAAUUACUUUGUAACAAAAUGUUCCCCAUAAGGUAAUGAAUGUGGUUUUCCUCAUGUCUUCAGGAUGCAUCUUUAUUUGAUUGUAUCCAAAGAAGCCAUCCAUGAAAGAAAACAAUGAGUAGCCCGCCGUGUUAUCUACCAGAGCGUCGAUAUGAGGCAAGGGAAAAUUAUAUUUUGGGCUAGCCUUAUUUAAAUCUCUAUAAUCUACACACAUUCGUACCUUUCCAUCUUUUUUAGGGGCAGGUACGAUAUUAGCUACCCACUUAGAAUAUUUGACCACUUGCAAGAAUCCAGCGUCGAAUUGCUUUUGCACCUCCUCCUUUAUAGGAAGAUGGUGAACUACGAUAUCAGUACUUAACCCAGGCAUAUCUUGGUAUGACCACGCGAAGACAUCUUUGAACUCUCGAAGCAACUCAAUGAGGUCUUGUUUUACUUCUUCGGCUAUGCAUGUGCCAAUCUUCACCACUUUUUCCUCUUCCAGGGUCACCGUCUCUACCGUCUCUUUAUGGGGUAGAAUUUGUUUCUCCUCUUGCUCUACCAUCCUUAACAAGUCCGGAGAUAGGUUGCCAUCUAUGUUAUCUUCAAAAUAAUGAGAUUUCUCUAAACACAUAUCCCAUUCAAAAGGAUUUUCUGAGUCCAUAGUAGAGUCACUCAUGUCAUUGAUAUCUUGGGACCUGUUAUAGGUACCAAAGAAUAUACAAAGAAUGUAUGAAUUUAAGAAUACUUUUAUAGUAUGGUUAUGAAUUAAUGAAAUAAUGAUUUGGAAUAAAAGAAUCCAAAAUGACUAUUCAUACGAAAGAAUGAAAGAAUAUAUGCUCAAAAAGAAAUUGCGAAGAUAUAUUUCAUUGAAGUCACAAUGUUCAAACAUAUGCCUAUUUCACAAAAAGUUUCAUUAUCUCUAGGCUUAAAAUAAUUAGCAUGUUUUGAAUAUUACUCUGGAAAAGUUCUAAAAACUUCAGGUAUUUCUUCUGCAGUCCAGUUACUUAGAACACUCCCAGGUUCAAAGGGACGGAUGCCUGAUAUACUUUCUUCUCCGAAUAUGGCAUUGAUGCUCAGGCUUUCUAACAUUUCCUCCGUGGUCUCCUUUCUUGGUGUCAUCAAUCCAGAAUACAUGAUUCCUCCUAGUACGAAGGUCCUGGAUAUGUAGGGGAAAGUAAUAGGUUCCCAAUCAACUUCUUCUCCACUCAAACAUGCCUUUCUCCUCUCCUGUCUUCUCUCUAACUAUUUCCUUCUUUGCUUAGCAUUUGGCUUAAAUCCUAAACCAAAGUGGUCUCAUUCAUCCUUCAUCAUUGGUGCUUCUAUUCUUCCCUGAAGGCAUCUUUCCAAUCCUCUUCCAGGUACAGCUCCUCUCCCAACUAUCAUUUGUAGUCCCAUCUUCGUGGCUCUAGAUAUGCUGGGCAUAGGGAUCUUCUUUCCCUCGACAACAAAGGUUACAUUUACGAAUUCUAAAGAUCGAAUGGAACAUUCGAUCGCCUCAUCAUCAGUUCCCAAAUAUGGUGUGUCACUAGUUACUGAUGCAAUGAUGUCUUCUUUAGCACUUAUCAUAACUAAACGGCCUUCUGUUACCAAUUUCAACUUUUGGUGCAAUGAUGAAGGCACCACCCCUGUUGAAUGAAUCCAGGGUCUUCUCAACAAGCAAUUAUAUGAAGGCUUGAUAUCCAUCACUAGGAAAUCCACCUCGUAUGUAUUCGGGCCAAUCAUGAGGGAUACUUCUAUUCUCCCCAUCACUCUUCUUUCGGUACCAUCAAAUGCUCUCACUAUAUUCUGGCAUGAUUUCAUGUGAGAGCUCUCCACCAGUAACCUGUUUAAGGUGGAUAGAGGUAAAACAUUUAAGGCCGAUCCAUUAUCAAUUAGCAUACCCGACAACAUAUAUUCUCCGCAACGAGUGGUGAUAUGUAAGGCUUUGGUGGCUCCUCUUCCCCUCGGUGGUAUUUCAUCACCAUUAAAAAAGAUGAAAUUGUCGGCACUUAUGUUGUUAACCGAAUGGUCCAACUUGUUCACCGAGAUAUCGUUAGCGACAUAAGUUUCAUUUAGUACCUUUAUCAAUGCAUUAUGAUGUAUCUCUGAACUUAAAAGUCACUCAAGUACCGAGAUACGAGCUGAUUGCUUAUGUAGUUGUUCCACCAUGCUGUACUCGCUAUGUUUUAAGAAUUUUAGAAAUUCUCUAGCCUCAUUUUCAGUCACCAGCUGAUUGACGUGCGAUUCAAUUCUGUCUAUUUUUCUUUUCUUCGCUCAACUGCUAAGGCUUUUCCUUUUCCAGAUUCCACUCUUGUAUAGAAUCCUUCAUCCUCUUCUGAAGCAUUUAUCAAGCUCUCUCCUCCUGGGAUUGUCACAUUGCAGUCGUAAUUCCAAGGAACCUUUUUGCUAUCCUUGUAGGGAAAGGAUACAGGUUUUUGGAUUAUGACCUUUGGCGCUAUUUGUAUUCUAGAUUCUUUGCUCAUUGGCUUUGAAAUAAUCACCACUGGGUGAUUAACCUUUUGGGCUUUCCCCGCAGAUUCUUCUUCUGAAGCAUAAACUCCUCCAUCUUCUAAUCCCUUGAUCUCUUCAUAAAGCUCCAACUCUUUGUUAUCCAUUAAGUUUUGCACCAUGGUUCUGAACUCAGUGCAUUUUUGGAUGUCGUGGCCUUCCUCUACAUGGAACUCACAAUCCUUGCUCCUUCAGGCCUUUCUAUUGAAUCUUGCUUGAUGAGACCUCUUUCCAUCAUUUGUUUCCAAACCCAUUCAAGGGGGUCUUUAUCUCUGCUACGUUGGCUUUGACUCUACUUCCUCCAUUCCUAAUUAUUGCAUUCACCCCUUUAUCGUCAUGAUUAGGCAAUGGAUUCCCUACUACGUUUGGUCCUGAUGAGUCGCCAAUCUUUACAAUCCCCAAAUUGAUAAGUUUUUCAACAAACUUCUUGAAUGCAGUGCAAUUUUCGAUCGAGUGCCCCUUACUUCCCGCGUGAUACUCGCAUUGGGCGUUUGCGUCAUACCACUUGGGGUAGGGAGGUUACAUAGGUUUUAGGUAAAAUAGAGAUACCACAUGUGCAUCAAAUAAGUUCUGGUACAGUUCCCUAUACGUCAUGGAAUGGGUGUGAAUUGAGGUCUCUCUACAUUUGGCCUCAGAUUAGAUUCCUGUUUCGAGGAACCUUGCUGAUUAGCAGUUACUGCUCUGGCUUAUCCCACCGUGAUUGAUUUAGAAUGGUCCUUGUUAAACAUGCUUGUAUUGUUUAUCUCGUGCUCCUUCUUUCUUGGUGCUGACCAUUUAGUACUUUCUCCUGCUUCUAUCUUGCCACAUCUUAUGGCGUUCUCUAUCAUUUCUCCAGACAUCACUAUGUCUGAAAAGCUUUUGGUGGCACUGCCCAACAUAUGAUUGAGAAAUGGAGCUUUCAAAGUAUUGAUAAAAAGCAUGGUUAUCUCUUUCUCUAAAAGUGGCGGUUGAACUUGCGUUGCUACCUCCCUCCAUCUCUAAGCAUACUGUUGGAAGCUCUCAUUAGGUUUCUUUUCCAUGUUUUGCAAUACAAUUCGAUCGGGUGCUAUAUCCAUUACAUGUCUGUAUUUCUUUAUAAAGACUUGCGCCAAAUCUUUCCACGAGUGGAUGUUGGCCUGACUCAAUUGAUUAUACCAUCUAGCCGCUGACCCGACCAAGCUGUCCUGGAAACAGUGAAUCAGCAGUUGAUCAUUGUAGAUGUACCCGGUCAUCCUUCGGCAAAACAUAGUGAAAUGAGCUUCGGGACAACUUGUCCCAUUAUACUUCUCAAACUCCGGCAAUUUAAAUUUGGGAGGGAGGACCAAAUCGGGUACCAAGCUCAAAUCUUUAGCGUCCAUUCCUCGAUGGUAAUCGGUAUUUUCCAUAGCUUUAAACUUCUCCUCUAACCAUCUACGUCGGUCUUCUAAUUGUUUUGGCAGGUCUACUCUUGCCUUCUCCAUUUCUGCUGCGUUAUCGAGAUUAGGAACCACGAGAUUAGUAGGAUUAUCCCCAGGAUUAGGAUCCAAGCUUGUUGGGAAGUUCAUCGAUGCUGAGGCACCGACUUGGUAUUGGGAUCUAAUGGUGACGGGUACCCUUUGUGGCGCCUGGAUAUUGGUUGGAGCGAAACCUGGAGAAUAGGUAGGGUCUUCGUGAUCAUCCCCAAAAUUUACAAUAGGGCUCUUUCCCUUAUCAUGCCCUCCAACCAUAAACUGCUUCAAUUGAUCCAAUAAAUCUCUUUGGGAUUCUUCCAUGUCUUGCUGUAUUUUAGUUAGUUUUUCUUGCAUCUGAGCUUGUAUAUGUUCUUGCAAUUGCUCCAAUCUCUCUAGUCUUUGAUCCAUUUCUUUAGUCUUGCGGCGAGUACCGUAGCGAUAACUAAUUGGCAGAUUUUUGUUGGUUUCCAGGAUAACUGUCAUAAUUUUAAUUAAUUAGGGCUCUUUUUUAAAACUUUAAUGCAUGUGAUAAAAUGUAAUAAAGAUGAAUGGAUGCAAAAGUGGCAUUGAUUCUAAUUCAAUUUCAUUAGAAAAACUCAACUAGAAAAUAAAUUUCUUUUACAUAAAGUGGAUUACAUAUACGGCUUUGUCUUUAUGCUCAAAGCCUUAAUUGUCCUAAGGAGCCAAGCUAACUCUCAACCCCAACUUGAUUCUGAUUCAUAUUUCAAACUCAAUACAUCGGCCUGAACUGCUAAGGCUUGUAAAUGAUCAGCUAUUUCCCGAACUUGAGUUAUGGCUUCACCCAUAAUGUAAUCCCUAUCUUUAAUCUGAUUUUGAGAAUGAUGGAGCUGCUCUUGGCAUUGUUCGUUACGCCUCUCAAGAAGUUCCACUCGCAAUUUAGAGUUUGGCAGUGCGUCUUCAAGCUCUCCUAUCUUUUUCUUCAACUCUUCAAUCUUACUCAAACUUGCAUUUAGCUCGAUCACAGAGUUGCGACUACGGCACAAGUGAAGCGACCUUUCUAACUCCGCUACCCAAUCUUUCAAUCUUGCUUCUUCAUUUUGGCAUUCUAACAAACUUUUCUCUAAGGCGCUCUCUCGAGCUCGGGCAUCUUGAAAUUUCUUUUCCCACUGAUCAGCUUUGGUCCUUUCUUCCUUGAUCUCCUGUCUCCAUUGCUCUGAUGUUUUCCCCAAACCUACAGUUCGCAUUGACAAACGCAGCUUCUUAUAAUCCGUUUUUAAACUAUCUAAAUCCUCUUCAGCCUUGUUCUUCCCUUUUCUUAACUUUUCAGCUUCCAACUUGUGGAUAUCAACAUCUAGUCCCAAACGCAACUUUUCCUCUUCUAGCUGCUCUAUCUUCUUUCUAAACUCCGAACUUCUUUUUUCAAAGUCUCGUUUGAUGAUCUCUAAUUCUGAUGGGACUACUCGUAAAUGCUCCUCUAUAGAUCGACCACAUUUUUCUCUUACCUUUGGAAUGUUGUCAUUGAUCCUCUUACUCCACCACCCGUGAUAUUCGAGAGUUGUCGUUGCUCCUACGGUAAUUCUUUUCAUCCAGUGAAUUUGUUUUCAAGCGUUAGACAUCUCUCGAAUCUUUCCCCUGUAGUUAUUACCUUUAUAAGAAAACUCACACUCAGCCAGCCCUUGCGUUGCCGGUACGAAUUGUCUUGACCUAUAUUGUCUUAACACGAGCAGAGGGGCAUAUCCGACGGCUCCCCAGAUUCCAAGUAAAGGAACCCAGUCAAAAUCCCCGCAUCGGUACAAAAUCUCGUCGGGCACCAUCCAAGAAGCUCUCCAUUCAAUAUCUUCAUCUUGUAGAUUUUGAAGGAUCGUCAUCCACUUCUCUCCUGUGAUGUCAUCGCGUCUUGGUGUCGCUGCUAAUUCCUUCAGAGGUGAAUAAUUUUCUGAGAAAACUUGAUAAGAAAUCUUAUCCACCUUUCAGAAAUGGCUAUGAAACCAAACUAACAGGAGUUGUGCACAACCAACAAAUCUUCCCUCCCCCGUUCUUCGACAGGCACUCAAAGAUCUGAACGUUUCAGCCAAAAUUGCUGGGACGGGUGUGACCCUCCUAUCAAGUUGAUCGAACAAAUCUGUAACGGCUUCGUCUAUAUGCCCCAACGCUUUAGGAAAAAUAACCAGCCCAUAGAUACUCAAAGCAAAAACAUCGACUUUCUUCUUCGUAUCAGGGUGUGCCAAAAUCUGAUCUCGCAGACUUCUCCAAGGGAUACAUCUAUUUUCUCCCUUUUGUUUGAUUCGUACAAUGACCCAUUGUUCACUCAUUUCGGUAAUUCUUGUUAACUUCUUUGUAAAAGUCAAAACAUUAGCAGCUCUAGAAUACACUUUAUCCACUUGGAUUCUUGGACAACGAAGUAAAGCUGUAUAUUCCUCCACAGUAGGCACCAUGUCUAUCUCUCCAAAUGUGAAGCAGCUAUAAGCGAAAUUCUAAAAUUGGGCCAGAGCUCGAAAUAAAUAUUCAUCUACAUUGAUGUCAAGCAAGUAGGGUAAAUCACCAUAAUUGUAGUGAAACAACUGUUUGACUUCAUCAUCCCAUUAAACCUAAAUUUCUUUCAACUCCUGAAGAUUAUUCUGAGUCACGUUGAUGCUAGUGUAAUCCCAUAACUCUGAUGUGUACCCCAUCGGCAGACUAUCACCUUUCUUAAGUUGCAUUUUUUCUGACCAUAUUCGGAUAACCGCAUUAUCUUCCACUUUAUUAAGAAAUUCACUUUCCAUGAUUGGCUUUUCUAUCUAGUAACUGAAUGUGAAUCAAUGCCUUUUGUAAUGAAAUACCAUGUAUACAAAAUGUCAUGCAAUCAAAAAAUAGAACAAUAAGUUAGUACCAAAAUAAAAUCUGAUGCAAGCAAUAAAUAAUAGAGCACCUAUUUGGAUAUCUACCAGUGGUUUGAAGUAGUUCUACCUAGGGUGGGUUCCUAAAGUUCACUACAUGUGGUUUGGUUCUAAAGAACAAGUACCCGAACCAGCAGAUUCCUCAAUUCUCACCCAUUAUAGGCUCAUACGAACCGAGUUUGGUUCAGGGGAAUACAUUUCCUUAUGGCUACACGGAGAUGAAAAUCUCACGAAGACAUAGGUACAGAUGUAUCCCAAAAGCGAUCCAUUAUCCUGCAUGGAGGUGAAAACCUCACGAAGGAGUAGUUUCUCACUCCCAUUUACAAGGGUAUGACCAAAGGUCAUGCAAUGCAAUGUGCAGAAAGAUGCCAAAAUUUAAGCCAACACAUGAAUCAUAAACCACAAUAAUGAAAAUUGUAAUAAAGACGAAUGAAAUGCAAUGAAAGGAUCGUAUAUUUAAACUAACAUUUUCAACUUUCGACAAAAAGGCAAAAAGUAAUCAACUCGUGGCUUGACUCUCUUAUUUUGUUCCCCAGCGGAGUCGCCAAGCUGUUGACACCAUUUUUUGAAUGAAAACGAGGUCGACUUGGAUUUUGAAAAUGAAAACGAAAAAAACGGGAGUUGCCACCAAUCCUUUUUGAUAAGGUGUGAUCGGUUCACCUUGAAAAGUGGUUAUUUUUAAUAAACGAUUGGAUUUUAUUAAAAUAACGGUUUUGGUCCACGAAAGUCAGAAAACAGGUUUGGGAGUCAGUUACGCACAAGGAAGGAUUAGCACCCUCGAUACGCCCAAAAUUGGUACCUAGUUGAUUACUUAAUGUCUUAGUGUCGAAAAUUGAAAACUUUAAAGAAAUUUAAAAUACGAUCCUUAUAAAAAACUCGAAUGGCAUAGAUUAAAAUUCAAGAGGAUAUUCGGCAAUUUGGUUAAACGAGAAAUUGAAACCCAGUACAUUAGGGCACGUUCCUCGAAUUUCCAAACGCAAAACAUUGCCUCAUUUGAAAUUUUUAAAAGGAUAUUUAGCUAUUUGGUCGGUUGAGAAAAAUCGAAACCCAGCACAUUAGGGCACGUUUUCUCGAAUUUCCAAAUGCAAAACAUUGCCUUAUUUUGAAAACUUUUUUUUCUAAAAGGAUGUUUAGCUAUUUGGUUGAACGAGAAAAAUCAAAACCCAGUACAUUAGGGUUCGUUUUCUCGAAUUUCCAAACGCUAAAUAUUGCCUCAAUUAGAAAUAUUUUUCCUAAAAGGCCACUCCAUUUCGGCAAAAGACCCACGCCCAAAUUCCAUAGCUUUGGGUCCGCUAUCCCGAUCAUGAUUUUCCUACCCCCAGAGGGAAAGGUCCUUCCCUUUUGGGCCGGUUGUGGGCGAGGAGGGAUUCGAACCCCCGACACUGUGGUUCGUAGCCACGUGCUCUAAUCCUCUGAGCUACAGGCCCCACCUCGUCUCCACUGGAUCUGUUCCCAGGAGUACCCUAAAAAAAAGGAACAUUUCCUCUCCCCAUCCAUUUCGGGUUAAGAAGAUGUGAAAGUGCCUUUCUCUCUAUAAGUUGCCACCGUUGAGUUUGGAACCCUGAGCAGACUGCCGGUGAUAAGCCGGAGGAAGGUGAGGAUGACGUCAAGUCAUCAUGCCCCUUAUGCCCUAGGCGACACACGUGCUACAAUGGACGGGACAAAGGGUCGCGAUCCCGCAAGGGUGAGCUAACUCCAAAAACCCGUCCUCAGUUCGGAUUGCAGGCUGCAACUCACCUGCAUGAAGCCGGAAUCGCUAGUAAUCGCCGGUCAGCCAUACGGCA